GCAGACACAUUCCAGCCAAUCAGCAGCAGACCCUCCCUCCCAGACCCUCCCACCUCCAUGACAGCAUCCAUUUUACAUUCAUUGUGAAGCUGCAUUGUUAGUGAGCUGUCCAGGAGGUGGGAGGGUUUGGGAGGGAGGGUCUGCUGCUGAUUGGCUGGAAUGUGUCUG